AACAUUCCUGGUAUUGCUGGGUUUAGUGAAGAUGAUUCUAAAUCAGUUUUCAGUUUUAUGAAGUUUACAGUAGAGUUAGCGAAAUCCGGUGAUCAUCUGACUGUCAAUGCUGCUUUGAUAGUGGAUCCAUUAGUCGGGAAUAUAAUUGCAAGUGCAUGUGAUGAACUCUGCUCGUGGCAUAUGGGAACAAAAAAAGCAAAGACAGAAACCUGCUCCUUCAAACAGUCAGAAGGAUUCUCUUCCGAUGCUGAUGCUAACAGGAUAGCAUGAGAUACAACUUUGCUUUCAAAUGGGUCAUUUGACAAUCUCCAACAAUGUCACACCACAGUAUCUUGUUUAAACCCUUGGCAUUUUGCACAACAAUCAUUGGAUACGAGUCCUUGUUAUUGUCAAGCAUUACGACAUGCUGCCAUUGUUGCUAUUGAAGCUUCUGCUGCCAGGGACCGACAUUUGUUCCCUGGUUCUGGGCAGAGUGAUAAGUUGUAUGAUGUUGAUUCUACUCAUUCUUCUCCCUCAGGUUCUCCAGCAAAGAGACAAAGGAUCACCCUUGAAAAUGUAAACAAUGAUGGGGAACAGGAUGCGAACACCGAAGGUUCAAACUCCUUAACCAGACCCUAUCUGUGUACUGGCAAUGACAUCUAUCUUGUCUGGGAGCCUUGUACAAUGGAAGUUGU